UACGUAGGAUGCAAGCGUUGUCCGGAUUUACUGGGCGUAAAGCGUGCGCAGGCGGUGAUGUAAGACCGAUGUGAAAUCCCCGGGCUCAACCUGGGAACUGCAUUUGUGACUGCAUGGCUGGAGUGCGGCAGAGGGGGAUGGAAUUCCGCGUGUAGCAGUGAAAUGCGUAGAUAUGCGGAGGAACACCGAUGGCGAAGGCAAUCCCCUGGGCCUGCACUGACGCUCAUGCACGAAAGCGUGGGGAGCAAACAGG
rnacentral:rRNA from 1 species